rnacentral:rRNA from 1 species
GAUGAACGCUAGCUACAGGCUUAACACAUGCAAGUCGAGGGACCGGCGCACGGGUGAGUAACACGUAUCCAACCUGCCCUUUACUCGGGGAUAGCCUUUCGAAAGAAAGAUUAAUACCCGAUAUAAAGGAUUGGGAUGCGUUCCAUUAGGUGGUUGGUGAGUGCACGGCUCACCAAGCCUUCGAUGGAUAGGGGUUCUGAGAGGAAGGGCCCCGACAUUUGAACUGAUAAACGGGCCAAACUCCUACGGGAGGAAGCAGUGAGGAAUAUUGGUCAAUGGGCGCUAGCCUGAACCAGCCAAGUAGCGUGAAGUAUGAAGGCUUAUGGGUCGUAAACUUCUUUUAGAUAAGAAUAUGUAUUAGAUGAAUAAGGAUCGGCUAACUCCGUGCCAGCAGCCGCGGUAAUUC